rnacentral:other from 1 species
ACGGUGCUGCGCGAUGCGUCUGGCCACGUUGUCCCUGGGGCCAAUAUCAUACCUCUUGGGAGCUGUCCCUAACGCGACCCUGGUCGCGUCAUAUGGCGCCCACCUGCGCUUGCAGGCCACAGAGGAGACAGAAAGCCGACGGUCGAGGCGGCUCCGUC